UUUCGUUUGGCAGCAAGUGCAUUUAGUGCGGCUAAAUGACUUAGCAGCAAGAUGGAUGGUGGAAAAAAGAGGAAGGGUGGAGCAGAGAGGGAGAGAGAGAAUUAAGGAAAGGUGCUUGCAGGAGAUGCUGCCAAAUGCAGCAAAAUUGACCAAAUGUUGGCACGCAUGGGACCACAGCCACCAGGUGGAGAGAGUAGCAUUGGUGCCACAGUAGUACAGAAGACCACUACUUCAGAGCAACCUGCAGGAUGACAUUGAUGCUGGCAGGGAGUGUGUCAUAAAAGGACUCUACAUCUGCCUCAAUGAGGAUCCUGAGGAUCUGGUGCAGGCGUACAUGGUGAGUGUGCCUUUGCCACAUUCUAAAAAAUAAAUGUUUGUUUAAAGAUGUUUAAAAAAAGUAGCCUAAGUUAUAAGAACCUCAUUUUACCAGACAUACCUGUGUGUUGUCUCAUUAGUGCUGAAAUUUGUAUGACUCUGCAUUUGAUUAUAAUAUAUUUAGUUAUAAUUAACAUGGGCUAUGAACACUGAAAACUAUGAAUCAGGAGUAGGACCUAAUGCUUUGCUUAUUAGUCUAAAGUAUGUAGUGUCAUUGCAUUUCACCUGUUGCCUUCAUUCUCUCCAACUCUCCUUUGAAAAGUCCUUGAUACCACUGCCACAACUGCAAAGUUAAAAAUAGCCUUUGUUGUGACUUGAAAAAAUGUCUGAGUGUGAAUUUCAAACUCAUGUGAUGUAAUUGAAGAAACAAUUUUAAUAAAAUGUUGUGAGUUGCUUUCGUGCAUAAGAAAUUACCAUUCACCUGCGUGAUGAACAUUUGGACUGUUGUUUCACCAGUGUUUAUUCACUCGAUUUAAUCUACGUUGGCCUACAAUCCAACCACAGGUUAAAACCAAUUCAGGUCGUCAACUUUGCCAGCAACUUUCAGGGUACACUGGGCUUAUUAUAGUAUAGUGCCACGGCAGAGUGUGCCGACAUUGCAGUCAAAUUAGUAAAUU